UCCCUGAUGGCUUAAACAGUAAAGAAUCUGCCUGCAAUGCAGGAGACCCAGGUUUGAUCCCUGGGUGGGGAA
rfam:TPA: Bos taurus chromosome 26, whole genome shotgun sequence.